rnacentral:rRNA from 1 species
GCAUAAUCAUUUGCCUUUUAAUUGAAGGCUUGUAUGAACGGAUAAACGCAAAUCAAGCUGUCUCUAUUUACAAACAUGAAAACUAACUCUCAAGUGAAAAGGCUUGAAUUAUAGUAAAAGACAAGAAGACCCUAUCGAGCUUUAUUCUUACAAUAGGCCUAAAUUAUGAACAAAAGUAAACCCCGUUAAUAGAAUUUAGUUGGGGCAACUAGGGACAAUAAUAAACGUCCGUACAGCAUAUUCGAUAUUAAAUCAACUCACAGACCCGUAACAUACGACUAAUAAAUAAAGCUACCGUAGGGAUAACAGGCUUAACUCCCCCAAAGAGAUUCACAUUAAAGGGGGCAG